AAUCAACGCUGGCGGCGUGCCUAACACAUGCAAGUCGAACGCGAAAGCCCGCAAGGGUAAGUAGAGUGGCGCACGGGUGAGUAACACGUGGACAACCUGCCUUCGAGUGGGGAAUAACCUUCCGAAAGGAGGGCUAAUACCGCAUAACACCUCGGGACACAAGUUCUGGGGUUGAAAAGAGCAAUUUGCUCGAAGAGGGGUCCGCGCCUGAUUAGCUAGUUGGUGAGGUAACGGCUCACCAAGGCUUCGAUCAGUAGCCGUCCUGAGAGGGAGCACGGCCACACUGGAACUGAGACACGGCCCAGACUCCUACGGGAGGCAGCAGUGGGGAAUUUUGGACAAUGGGCGCAAGCCUGAUCCAGCCAUGCCGCGUGCGGGAAGAAGGCCU
rnacentral:rRNA from 1 species